rnacentral:ncRNA from 1 species
GCUCAGUUUUAUUCUUGCUUUUUUAUUCGGUGUUGCCUUACUUUAUAUGUAAGUUCUUGCGUGAUUUGUUCCUUUUUCUUGAUGGUUAAGGGUAGUAGAGUAGUGGUUGAUUUGGUGAUUCGCAUUAUUUAGUUUUAUAUAUCUUGGUUUCUAGGAUUUAGUAAUGGCUUAUAUCGCCGGUUAAGUUUGUGCCAGCAGCCGCGGUUAUACAUUAGGCGUUAUUGAAUAUUUUCGGUUUUGCAGUUUUAUUAUUUGAUGUUUAGGCAUUGAUUUAGAUGACUUCUGUGUAGUUGGGUGGAAUCUUUAUUUUUAUUGAUUGUCUGUUGAUUUAUUUGUAGGCUGUGAAGUCUUUGUUGUAAACUAGGAUUAGAUACCCUAUUAUUUUGGAUGUUAAUUAUGUUUACCUGGGUAGUAUUAGUUAUGUUCUUGAAACCCAAAGGAUUUGGCGGUAUUUCUACCUUUCAGAGGAAUCUGCCCCGUGAUCGAUAGUCCGCGUUGUACCUUACUUGGAAUUCUUUUUGUUUGUAUACCGCCGUUAUAAUGAGAAUCUUUUUAGUGUUUAAUUUUCUGGCUUCGUUAUUGUGACUUAUUUCAGGUCAAGGUGCAAUUAUUUUUAAGUGUGAGGUGGAUUACAUUAUGUUGUUGAGUUUGGAUUUUUGGUUGGAAUUAUUAGGAUGAAAUUGGAUUUGAUUGUAAUUUGUUGAAGAUUGUAUUGAUGAUAUUGGUACUGGAAUAUGUACACAUCGCCCGUCGCUCUCAUUUUUUUUUGUUGAGAUAAGUCGUAACAUAGUGGUCGUACCGGAAGGUGUGGCUGGAUUGAU